UCUAGGAAGUGAAGGCACGCUCAGGGAAAGACAUUCCCUCUCCUUAUGAAGCCUGUAAAUUAAAGAAGCAGGGCAGACAUCGUGUGAUGUCCUUAUUUUUUUCUAAAGAAGCUCACCUGGCAGGUACUUGGUUAUCAGUUCUCCAUGGCAGUGCUGCACCUUGGGAUAAUUUCGAAAGGAAUUACUCUGUGAGUUGGUUUUGGACAUUGAACCUAAAGACGUGUGAGGAUCUUGGUCAGAGAAGUUCCCACACCACUGAACAGGAAAUCUGGAAUUUCACAGCUCUUGGUGAAUCACAGUCGUUGGGCCUUCAUCUUCCAGAGGAAUGUGGGCUGGCUCUGAUCCUCCCCGAGUCUGCUCCGUUGGGAACAAGCACAGGGUCGUUUCCAUGGAAUACUCAGGAGCAGGGAUAAGAUGUUUUCUGGCUUCUUCACAUCUAAAUUAUCAGUGGAAGGCUUUGCUUGCCAUACACCUGGGUUUAGGUAUUUAUUCCUGUUUGUUUCCUUUUAGACAGGACAAUGCAAGUUCUCAAAAGGUGAAAAUACCAGUUCUGGCUCUGGAUAAAGGGGAAAAGGGUCUGGUUUGGGGAGUAUCCUUGCAACAAACCAACUUUAC
rnacentral:lncRNA from 1 species